rnacentral:ncRNA from 1 species
GGCAGGAGCAAUUACUCAAAAGGGUGCUUUGAACGAUGAAGCGGAGAACGGUUCCAUAUGAAUUCCUCUCCACCUCAAGCAAUUGAGCAUUGAUUAGCCGGUCCCAAAUGACAACUUAGCAGAGGUGAUUUCAGGACUUUCUGUCCUCGUUUUUCGCAUGAGGGAAUCAGGGCUGCAUUUCUGAUUUUGUAUGUGGGUACUGCACAGCAGCGCACAGAACUUUUCGAUGGAGGCAAGUGCCCCCCGUACAGCGUUAUCUUUGCAUCUUAACAGCUUCUUCCGAGCAUAUCCUGUGAUCGUAUUAUCUGGAAAUAAAGUGGACUGGUUCGUUUGGCUUCUUGGCUUCCAGGAUGAAAUUUGUGCUUGUGACUGUCCCCGAAACGAGAACGGAAAGUGUUUUAUGCAUCCUUGGCAGUACCAUUCACCGCAUAAUUAGAGGUUUAGCGUAAGUGCUUGUCA